rnacentral:rRNA from 1 species
GAUCCUAGCUCAGGAUGAACGCUAGCUACAGGCUUAACACGUGCAAGUCGAGGGGCAGCAUGGUCUUAGCUUGCUAAGGCUGAUGGCGACCGGCGCACGGGUGAGUAACACGUAUCCAACCUGCCGUCUACUCUUGGCCAGCCUUCUGAAAGGAAGAUUAAUCCAGGAUGGGAUCAUGAGUUCACAUGUCCGCAUGAUUAAAGGUAUUUUCCGGUAGACGAUGGGGAUGCG